rnacentral:rRNA from 1 species
AGUGAACGCUGGCGGCGUGCCUAAUACAUGCAAGUCGAACGGAGUGGCGCACGGGUGAGUAAUAUAUAGCUAAUCUGCCCCUUGCUGGAGGACAACAGUUAGAAAUGACUGCUAAUACUCCAUAGCAAGGGAUGAGACUAUAUCGUAUCAGCUAGUCGGUGGGGUAACGGCCUACCGAGGCUAUGACGCGUAACUGGUCUGAGAGGAUGAUCAGUCACUUAAGAAAUGAGACACGGGCCAAACUCCUACGGGAGGCAGAAGUAGGGAAUAAUGCGCAAUGGGGGAAACCCGGACGCAGCAACGCCACGUGGAGGAUAACGCUUUUCGGAACGUAAACUCCUUUUGUUAGGGACGCGGUACCUAACGAAUAAGCGCCGGCUAACUUCGUGCCAGCCGCCGCGGUAAUAC